CGGUAAUUCCAGCUCCAAUAGCGUAUACUAAAGUUGUUGCAGUUAAAAAGCUCGUAGUUGGAUUUCUGCGGGGACGGAGCGGCCGGUCGCAACUUGCGACUCGAGCUAGCGCUUUCCCCGCAUCCUGCCGCGAACCGUGCUACCAUUAGCUUGGUGGCGCUGGGGAUCGGCUCGAUUACUUUGAGAAAAAUAGAGUGUUCAAAACAGGCCACACGCCUUGAAUAAGUUAGCAUGGAAUAAUGACUAAGGACUUCGGUUCUAUUUUGUUGGUGUUCGGGACUGAAGUAAUGAUUGAUAGGGACAGUUGGGGCGGUCUGUAUUCCAAAGCGAGAGGUGAAAUUCUUAGACCUUCGGAAGACAAACAGCUGCGAAAGCGUUCCGCAAGGAUGUUCCCUUUGAUCAAGAACGAAAGUUGGGGGAUCGAAGACGAUCAGAUACCGUCGUAGUCUCAACUAUAAACUAUACCAGCUAGGGAUCGGUCAACGUUUAAUCAUUCGACUUGAUCGGCACCUUAUGAGAAAUCAAAGCAUCUGGGUUCCGGGGGGAGUAUGGUCGCAAGGCUGAAACUUAAAGGAAUUGACGGAAGGGCACCACCAGCCGUGGAGCCUGUGGCUUAAUUUGACUCAACACGGGAAAACUUACCAGGUCCAGACAUAGUAAGGAUUGACAGAUUGAUAGCUCUUUCUUGAUUCUGUGGGUGGUGGUGCAUGGCCGUUCUUAGUUGGUGGAGUGAUUUGUCUGGUUAAUUCCGUUAACGAACGAGACCCCAGCCUGCUAAAUAGCGCGGCUGAGCUUUGCUCGGUGCGAGCUUCUUAGAGGGACUAUGAUGCGCGAUAGCACAUGGAAGUUUGGGGCAAUAACAGGUCUGUGAUGCCCUUAGAUGUUCUGGGCCGCACACGGGCUACACUGGCGCCUGCAACGAGCAUAUCAGCUGGCCCGAGAGGGUCUUGGCUAAUCUUUUGAACCGGCGCCGUGCUUGGGAUUGACCAUUGCAAUUGUUGGUCAUGCAACGAGGAAUGCCUUGUAAACGCGAGUCAUCAGCUCGCAUUGAAUACGUCCCUGCCCUUUGUACACACCGCCCGUCGCUCCUACCGAUGAAUGUUCCGAUGAAAUUUUCGGAGAGCGCCAGAGAACGGGGCUCCGCCUUGCAGAUCUGGAGGCUCAAAGUCACUUAAAUCUGAACAUUUCGAGGAAGGAGAAGUCGUAACAAGGUAGCCG
rnacentral:rRNA from 1 species